rnacentral:rRNA from 1 species
UUAAGUGACUAAGCGUACACGGUGGAUGCCUUGGCAGUCAGAGGCGAUGAAAGACGUAGUAACUUGCGAUAAGCCCAGAUUAGGUAGUAACAACCAUUUGAGUCUGGGAUUUCUGAAUGGGGAAACCCACGUGCAUAAGCACGUAUCCUUACCUGAAUACAUAGGGUAAGGAGGCGAACCGGGGGAACUGAAACAUCUAAGUACCCCGAGGAAAAGAAAUCAACCGAGAUUCCGAAAGUAGCGGCGAGCGAAAUUGGACUAGCCCUUAAGCUUUACACGCGUUAGACGAACGGUCUGGAAAGUCCGACGAUACAGGGUGAUAGUCCCGUAGUUGACGACGUGUGUUCAGUGAAAUCGAGUAGGGCGGGACACGUGAUAUCCUGUCUGAAUAUGGGGGGACCAUCCUCCAAGGCUAAAUACUACUGACUGACCGAUAGUGAACCAGUACCGUGAGGGAAAGGCGAAAAGAACCCCUGUGAGGGGAGUGAAAUAGAACCUGAAACCGUGUACGUACAAGCAGUAGGAGCAGGCUUUGUCCUGUGACUGCGUACCUUUUGUAUAAUGGGUCAGCGACUUAUAUUCAGUGGCAAGGUUAACCAUCUAGGGGAGCCGUAGGGAAACCGAGUCUUAACUGGGCGUUCAGUCUCUGGAUAUAGACCCGAAACCAGGUGAUCUAGCCAUGGGCAGGUUGAAGGUUGAGUAACAUCAACUGGAGGACCGAACCGACUAAUGUUGAAAAAUUAGCGGAUGACUUGUGGCUAGGGGUGAAAGGCCAAUCAAACCUGGAGAUAGCUGGUUCUCCCGAAAGCUAUUUAGGUAGCGCCUCGGACGAAUACUACUGGGGGUAGAGCACUGUUAAGGCUAGGGGGUCAUCCCGACUUACCAACCCUUUGCAAACUCCGAAUACCAGUAAGUACUAUCCGGGAGACACACGGCGGGUGCUAACGUCCGUCGUGGAGAGGGAAACAACCCAGACCGCCAGCUAAGGUCCCAAAUUACUACUAAGUGGGAAACGAUGUGGGAAGGCUCAGACAGCCAGGAUGUUGGCUUAGAAGCAGCCAUCAUUUAAAGAAAGCGUAAUAGCUCACUGGUCGAGUCGGCCUGCGCGGAAGAUGUAACGGGGCUAAGUAGUAAACCGAAGCUGCGGCAAUGCACUUUUGUGCAUUGGGUAGGGGAGCGUUCUGUAAGCGGUUGAAGGUGUGUGGUAACGCAUGCUGGACGUAUCAGAAGUGCGAAUGCUGACAUGAGUAACGAUAAAGGGGGUGAAAAACCUCCUCGCCGGAAGACCAAGGGUUCCUGUCCAACGUUAAUCGGGGCAGGGUAAGUCGACCCCUAAGGCGAGGCCGAAAGGCGUAGUCGAUGGGAAACGGGUUAAUAUUCCCGUACUUCUUACAAUUGCGAUGGGGGGACGGAGAAGGCUAGGUGGGCCUGGCGACGGUUGUCCAGGUUCAAGUGCGUAGGCUUAAGAGUUAGGUAAAUCCGGCUCUUUUUAAGGCUGAGACACGACGUCGAGCACCUACGGGUGUGAAGUCAUUGAUGCCAUGCUUCCAGGAAAAGCCUCUAAGCUUCAGAUUGUAAGGAAUCGUACCCCAAACCGACACAGGUGGUCGGGUAGAGAAUACCAAGGCGCUUGAGAGAACUCGGGUGAAGGAACUAGGCAAAAUGGUACCGUAACUUCGGGAGAAGGUACGCUCUUGACGGUGAAGUCCCUCGCGGAUGGAGCUGACGAGAGUCGCAGAUACCAGGUGGCUGCAACUGUUUAUUAAAAACACAGCACUGUGCAAAAUCGUAAGAUGACGUAUACGGUGUGACGCCUGCCCGGUGCCGGAAGGUUAAUUGAUGGGGUUAGACUUCGGUCGAAGCUCUUGAUCGAAGCCCCGGUAAACGGCGGCCGUAACUAUAACGGUCCUAAGGUAGCGAAAUUCCUUGUCGGGUAAGUUCCGACCUGCACGAAUGGCGUAAUGAUGGCCACGCUGUCUCCACCCGAGACUCAGUGAAAUUGAAAUCGCUGUGAAGAUGCAGUGUACCCGCGGCUAGACGGAAAGACCCCGUGAACCUUUACUACAGCUUGGCACUGAACAUUGACCCUACAUGUGUAGGAUAGGUGGGAGGCUUUGAAGCACGUACGCCAGUAUGUGUGGAGCCGUCCUUGAAAUACCACCCUUGUAGUGUUGAUGUUCUAACGUCGACCCCUUAUCGGGGUUGCGGACAGUGCCUGGUGGGUAGUUUGACUGGGGCGGUCUCCUCCCAAAGAGUAACGGAGGAGCACGAAGGUGGGCUAAUCACGGUUGGACAUCGUGAGGUUAGUGCAAUGGCAUAAGCCCGCUUGACUGCGAGAAUGACAAUUCGAGCAGGUGCGAAAGCAGGUCAUAGUGAUCCGGUGGUUCUGAAUGGAAGGGCCAUCGCUCAACGGAUAAAAGGUACUCCGGGGAUAACAGGCUGAUACCGCCCAAGAGUUCAUAUCGACGGCGGUGUUUGGCACCUCGAUGUCGGCUCAUCACAUCCUGGGGCUGAAGUCGGUCCCAAGGGUAUGGCUGUUCGCCAUUUAAAGUGGUACGCGAGCUGGGUUUAGAACGUCGUGAGACAGUUCGGUCCCUAUCUGCCGUGGGCGUUGGAAGAUUGAAGGGGGCUGCUCCUAGUACGAGAGGACCGGAGUGGACGAACCUCUGGUGUUCGGGUUGUGUCGCCAGACGCAUUGCCCGGUAGCUAAGUUCGGAAUCGAUAACCGCUGAAAGCAUCUAAGCGGGAAGCGAGCCCUGAGAUGAGUCUUCCCUGAUACUUUAAGUAUCCUAAAGGGUUGUCGGAGACUACGACGUUGAUAGGUCAGGUGUGUAAGUGCUGUGAGGCAUUGAGCUAACUGAUACUAAUUGCCCGUGAGGCUUAACCAU